UGAAGAGGUAAAAAAGGAUCUCAGUGA
rnacentral:sRNA from 1 species